AAAUGAAUUGACGGGGACCCGCACAAGCGGAGGAGCGCGUGGUUUAAUUCGACGGUAAUCGAAAAACCUUACCAGGGUUUGACAUGUAUCUGCAUGCCCCCAGAAACGGGGGAAUCCUUAGAGGGUGAUACACAGGUGCUGCAUGGCCGCCGUCAGCUCGUGUCGUGAGAUGUAGGGUUAAGUCCCGAAACGAGCGCAACCCCUAUCCUAUGUUACAAGUGUCUUAGGAAACCGCCUCGGUAAAACGAGGAGGAAGGUGGGGAUGACGUCUGGUCCGCAUAGCCCUUAUGUCCUGGGCGACACACGCGCUACAAUGGCUGAUACAAUGGGGAGCCAAAUCGUAAGAUGGAGCAAAUCCUCAAAGUCAGUCUCAGUUCGAAUUGAGGUCUGCAACUCGACCUCAUGAAGUAGGAUUCGCUAGUAAUCGUAGAUCAGACAUGCUACGGUGAAUACGUUCUCGGGUCUUGCACACACCGCCCGU
rnacentral:rRNA from 1 species